AACGCGAAGAACCUUACCUGGGCUUGAACCGCCGGUGACCAGCGGUGGAAACAUCGCCUUCUCGCAAGAGACACCGGUAGAGGUGCUGCAUGGCUGUCGUCAGCUCGUGCCGUGAGGUGUUGGGUUAAGUCCCGCAACGAGCGCAACCCUUACUCUUAGUUGCCACCCGCAAGGGGGAACUCUAAGAGGACUGCUCCGGAUAACGGAGAGGAAGGUGGGGAUGACGUCAAGUCAGCACGGCCUUUAUGUCCAGGGCUACACACGUGUUACAAUGCACGGUACAAACCGUCGCGAACCCGCGAGGGGGAGCUAAUCGGAGAAAACCGUGCUCAGUUCGGAUUGCAGUCUGCAACUCGACUGCAUGAAGCCGGAAUCGCUAGUAAUGGCGCAUCAGAACGGCGCCGUGAAUACGUUCCCGGGUCUUGUACACACGC
rnacentral:rRNA from 1 species